GGGCCGUUAGCUCAGCUCGGUAGAGCAUCGGACUUUUAAUCCGAGGGUCGUGCGUUCGAAUCGCACACGGCUCA
rnacentral:tRNA from 1 species